GGUCUCUGGCUUCUUCUCUUCGUCAGCUCAGGACAGACAGCAGACUGCUUCUCAAAUGCUGGAUGUGGUCUUUUAUAGCAAGACUUUAAUAACCAAACCUGCAGUUAGUCCAGUGGCAGCAGCACAGGAGCUGAAACAGCUGAUUCACUGGAAAUAAACACACUCCAGGAACUUCUAGCGGUUAUCUCUACUUUUAUUUAUAUAUUUUAACACAAAUAAACUUUAACUGAGUGCAGCACAAAUACUUACAGAUCACAAACCUUCAGUUAGUCCAGAAUGAGGAUCAGCAACAAACUGAGAUAAAUGACAGUGCUCUGAGUCCCACUAUAAUCCAAUUAGGAUUUUUGUAGAUUUAUCUCAACAGUGAACUAUAAAUUACUGUAUUAACUGCUGUAUUAAAGAUGUGUUACUUGGAGAUCAAUAAAUACAGCUGAUCUCUAUCAAAUGAACAAAAUGAUAUAAAGUAUGGAAUAUCUCUGAAGUCAAUCCAAAUUUUCUGUGUAUGUAGUAAAUUUGUUUUUCCAAAUUAUUCAAAUUUAUUUGU